rnacentral:tRNA from 1 species
UAGGCAGAGGCCUGUUGGUCUUAGGCACCUAGCUGUUAACUAGGGGGUCGUGGGGUCGGAACCCACCUGCCUAG